UACGGGAGGCAGCAGUAGGGAAUAUUGGUCAAUGGGCGAGAGCCUGAACCAGCCAUGCCGCGUGUAGGAUGACGGCCUUCUGGGUUGUAAACUACUUUUCUACAGGAAGAAAAAGCUUAUGCGUAAGCAAUUGACGGUACUGUAGGAAUAAGCACCGGCUAACUCCGUGCCAGCAGCCGCGGUAAUACGGAGGGUGCGAGCGUUGUCCGGAUUUAUUGGGUUUAAAGGGUGCGUAGGCGGCUCUUUAAGUCAGUGGUGAAAGCCCGCAGCUUAACUGCGGAACUGCCAUUGAUACUGGAGAGCUUGAGUACGGUUGAAGUAGGCGGAAUUUAUGGUGUAGCGGUGAAAUGCAUAGAUACCAUAAAGAACACCGAUAGCGUAGGCAGCUUACUAAGCCGUAACUGACGCUGAGGCACGAAAGCAUGGGGAGCGAACAGGAUUAGAUACCCUGGUAGUCCAUGCCGUAAACGAUGAUAACUCGCUGUUAGCGAUAUACUGUUAGCGGCCAAGCGAAAGCGUUAAGUAUCCCCCUGG
rnacentral:rRNA from 1 species